CAGCCGCCGCGGUAACACGUAGGGUGCGAGCGUUAAUCGGAAUUACUGGGCGUAAAGCGUGCGCAGGCGGUUGUGUAAGACAGGUGUGAAAUCCCCGGGCUUAACCUGGGAACUGCGCUUGUGACUGCACAGCUAGAGUAUGGCAGAGGGGGGUGGAAUUCCACGUGUAGCAGUGAAAUGCGUAGAGAUGUGGAGGAACACCGAUGGCGAAGGCAGCCCCCUGGGCCAAUACUGACGCUCAUGCACGAAAGCGUGGGGAGCAAACAGGAUUAGAUACCCCUGUAGUCCCUGUCUCUUAUAC
rnacentral:rRNA from 1 species